UACGUAGGGUGCAGGCGUUAAUCGGAAUUACUGGGCGUAAAGCGUGCGCAGGCGGUUCGCCAAGUCAGGUGUGAAAUCCCCGGGCUUAACCUGGGAAUUGCGCUUGAAACUAGCGGGCUUGAGUGUGGCAGAGGGGGGUGGAAUUCCACGUGUAGCAGUGAAAUGCGUAGAGAUGUGGAGGAACACCGAUGGCGAAGGCAGCCCCCUGGGUCAACACUGACGCUCAUGCACGAAAGCGUGGGGAGCAAACAGG
rnacentral:rRNA from 1 species